GAGUGCUGCCCACUGAUCAGCUAGACACUUUAAUGUAUGUGUUAUUUUAUUCUCUCUUCUGUUUGGUUUGGCUUGAGUCAGUCCUACUAUGUAGUAGCCCUGGCUGGUCUGGAACUCACUGUGUAGACCAGGAUGGCCUUGAAUUCACAAAGAUCCCCUUGCUUCUACCUCCUGGGUGCUGGAAUUAAAGGUGUAUACCACUAUAUCCCCCCACCCCUUUGAAGUUGUUGUUUUGUUUUGUUGUUUUGUUUGAGGAAGCAUCUUGUCUGGAGUCCAGGCUGGCCUUGAACUCCCUAUGAGGCCCAAAAUAGUCUUGAAUUCAAAAUCCUUUAUCCUUCUUCUAUAGCCUCUGAAGUGUUAUAUGCACCAUGACAUCUUGUUAGUUCUACCUUUUGCUACUAGUGAUUUUAGUAUUGUAAAAACUGAGUACUUCACUGGGUGUGGUGGCACACGCCUUUAAUCCCAGCCCUCGGGAGGCAGAGGCAGGCAGAUUUCUGAGUUCAAGGCCAGCCUGGUCUACAGAGUGAGUUUCAGGACAGCCAGGGCUGCAGAAAAACCCUGUCUCCAAAAAACCAAAAAAAAAAAAAAAAAAAAAAAAAAAAAAAAAAACAACAGAGUACUUCAUUGUGAAAAUUAUAGUGACGUUAUUAAGAAAAUGACAACUAUAUUCUGUCCUUAAAAGGUCUCUUUUAAACAGUGGUGUAUAUGUAUGGAAAUGUAACAAUACCCAUUAUUUUGUAUGCUAGCUAAAAAAUUAAUUUUAAAAAAAAUCUUAUUUAGACAUUGUAGAUUUAAAGUAAAAGAUUCAUGUGUGAUUAAUGUAUUAGAAUCUGUCAAUAAGUAAAAGAGCCAUUCUUGGCAAAUAGUUGCUGACAAAAUCACCAUUUUUUUUUCUUUAAAGAAAGAAAGAAAGCACUGACAAUAGAAAUUGUUAUUCAGGGUUACUAAGAUUUUUGUCUUGCAGGAACUUGUUUUGGGGGUUGUUUGUGUUUUCUUUCCUGAGAUGGUGUCUCAAGAACCCUAGGCUAGCCUCAACCUAUAUUUAGCUGGUCCUCUUUUCUCUACCUUUGAAGUGCUAGGGUCAUAGAUGUAUAACACCAUAGCUCUGUCUUUUUACUUCUAGACACACAGGUUGACCAGAUGUGUGGUCUGGACUCCCCUCUCCCCCUUCCAUUGUGAGGUACCAUAUUCAGCAUAUUCCAACACUUCUAAAAGCAAGACUCCAUACCAAACAGACCAUGGUAGCUAAUGCCUGUGCUCUCAGUCAUAGGAGGCUGAAGCAGGAGGAUGGACAGUUCCAGAGACCUUGGUUGAAUGGAUGAAUGGGUAUCGUCCAAGCACAGAGUUGCAGUUACUGCAGAGGCUAGGCAGCAUAUGUGCCAAGCCCCGUGCUGGCUGCUAUGGUGCACCGCACAGACCUGAAGUCCAUGUAUGUUCUGGCUCUAUGUGGUAAUCUCCCCACCAUGACUGGAGGUAAGGGGCUGUGCCUAUCAAUCUCCACUGUACCCCACCCAGCCUAGACAGCUGACCUCAAAAGCCCGGAAGAUGGCAGGUAGGUGUGUGCCUAAAUUCUACAUUAACAUGACCAUAGACACUUUCAGUCUAAACCUUACUGUUUUAGAAAUGGCCAUUUAUAGUGUUUCAAAGAUUUGGGUUUUAUUGUGGUUACUGGGUCUUGAAAGAAACUGUUCCUGAGGUAAGCACCGAAUGAAGCAGGCAUGUGAUCGCUUUAGAUUAUUUCAGUGUGAAAUUUCUGUAAAAAAAAUACACAAGUUUAAGGUAGGCAUGGUGGCACACAUCUUUAAUCCCAACAACUGAGUAGAUGGAGGGAGACGGAUCUCUUCAAGUUCAAGGCUAGCCUGGUUUAUAUUCAGGAGUGCUCACUCUAGAUAGGUAGGUAGGAGGUAGGGAAGUAGGUAGGUAGGUAGGUAUCUCUGAUUCAAAUGUAGUCAAAUAUAGGCAAUCUGAAUUCUAACUUAUCCACGACUACUCAGACCUGAGAACUGUUACCUGAUCUUAUGCUAAAUAAGAAGGGAGUCUGUCUGAGAGUUGCUGAGAGGGCUGCUGGUUUGUCUGUCUUAAGUCUCCUCAAAGCCCAGCAGGAGCCCUUCCAGAACUAGAUGGUCAGUGGCUGUGCUGGAGGAGGCCCCUUUCAGGCUACAGGCAGAGAAUGACAAUGUCACACAUAUCAGGGAACAUUAUUCCUCCUGAUGUUAAGAAAAUAACUCUCCAACAGAAGUCACAUCUUAAGUGAUAAUUGGGUGGGUUGUUUUGUUUUGUUUAAUUAAAGCUUCAAAGUAAGAUUAAAGAUUGAAUUUAGGUAGAAUUAGCAUUAAUAGUCAAUCUUUUCUGUAAUUUAUAACAAGAAAAAAAAAGUGUCCCCAAAGUUAUGGUUAGAUUAGUUAAAUAUUGUAGUAAGGAGAGAAAUCCAUGGAGACCUCAGGAUAAUAAGCAGGGGUUAGCAGAAAGGUGACACUGUUCAUUUCUGUGACAUUUCUGGCUAAACAAGCUUUUGUAGACCCACUGGGAAUGUAACCACUAUUUCCAUGGGAAAAUAAAUUCCAGGUUCCAGACAAGUAAUUUAGAGAUGUUGUGGAACACAGCCACUAAUAAGUUUAGACUUGUGUGCUCCAGAGGCCCCAUCGCACCAUUGUGAUAGAUAGCCAGAGUUCAGCAGUAAGGGGAAAUGGGGUAAAUCGACUCUUACAGAUAAAAUGAAGAUUAACUAUGAUCAUAGCUCAGAAGAGAAGACUGUCAAAGACCGAAACCACCAUAGCACAGAAGAAAGGGGAACCCCAGUGACUCAGAUCAGAUCGUCCCCCUUACUCUGUAUGUAGUGCUGCUCCUAGGUGUCACAUGAUAUAAUAGAUAUUUGUGCUUUGUUUUAUUCUGUUUGUUUUGUUCUAGUAAGAGAGACAAGGCCUCAGACUAGUCUGGAAUUAACACUGUAAACCAGACUGGCCUGGAAACUGUGGCAGUCCUUCAGUCCCAGACUCCCAAGUGUUAGGAUUACAGGCAUUCAUUAGCCAUCAUGUCUGGCUUUAUUUUAGACUUAGAACCAGAAGGAGGAACAGUGCAGUGGCUCACUUGCUGCACUACCCUGGCAACCUGGUUCAAUCCCUGGCCCCCAGAUAAAGGUGAUAGGAGAGGUCUGACUGCACCAAGCAGCCCUCUGACCCUCACAUGUGCAUGCACCGUGGAACUCAGGCCGCUGCCACACGAUAACGAAUAAUUCUCUAAUCAGAAUAGGAAAGUGAUGAGGCCAGAGCCUUCUGUUUGCCUGCUACUCUACUGCCUCUUGUUGUGCCUCCAUUUCUGACUUAAGGUGACAGGGCAGAGCGUUGCCCAGCAUACCCAAGGCCUAGAGUUUGGUCCCCAGCCCUAGUUUAAAAAAGGCUUAAUAUAGUGUGUCUGCAUGUGCUUCUGGACUAGAUCAAAAACAGUGACAGGAAACACUGCUGCUAUGUUGAUAAAAUGUGUGGCAUCACCACACAUGAGAUAGAUAGAUACACACACACACACACACACACACACAGUUGCUGGCAGCACUAAAUACAUCCAUGGGAACUUGUUGGCUAAUCAGGAUAUGUCCCACCUAGAACAUCUCGUCAAAAUGUAGUGUGACCAUGCUAUUAUAUUAAGAUCACCCUGUAAAAUAGACAUGAAGGAGCUGACAAGAUGCAUGGAAUCAUGGGGGCGGGAGAUGCAAUGCAAAGUUUUUUUUUCUUGUGGAAAAUCAAAAUAAAUAGGUGUUGUGUGUUGUAGUUUAACUGUGAAAUGCCACACCCUAUCUUACACUGGCCUUUUUUGCCCACUGAUGACCUUGUAGGAAGUGAUUAGAUGAUAAGGCUUCAGGAUUUGUAGAUGGAUUGAUCCACUGAUAGUUGAUCGUCUGAUGGCAUUGUUGAGUUCUGGUUGGAAGAAGUGGGCCACUGAUGUGUGCCUUUGAGAAAUGUAUCUUGUUCCCAGCAGUGCUUCUAGGUUCCUGCUUCCUGGUUGCCUGGAGGUGAGCAGCUUUACUCCUGUAUACUCAUCUGCCAUGAUGCUCUGUCUCACCAUGACCUAGAAACCUCUGACACAGUGAGCCAAAAUAAAUCUGCCCACCCUUUCAGUAGUUUCUUUCUGGUAUUUGGCACUUCAAAGGAAGUCUAAACACAGCUGAGUUGAUACUAAAGUCCAUAAAAGAAGAUUCUUUUUUUUUUUUCAAGAUUUUUAUUUAAAUGAGUACACCAUUUCUGUCUUCAGACACACCAGAAGAGGGCAUCAGAUCCUGUUACACAUGGUUGUGAGCCACCAUGUGGUUGCUGGGAAUUGAACUCAGGACCUCUGGAAGAGUAGUCAGUGCUCUUAACCUCUGACCCAUCUCUCCAGCCUAGAAAGAAGAUUCUAAACAUUGUUUACCCAUGAGUCAAAAAGAAUGUGUGGAUCUAGAGAGAGAUGUGUAAGAAAGAAGGAAGUGCUGGAGAGAGAGAAGGAGAAACGAAAAGUGUCAGGGGUGUUUUGUUUAUGUUUUUUGCUUUAUUUGGAGACAGGCUCAUAUAGCCCAUGAUGGCCUAGAACUCUGUAGCCAAGGUUAGCCUUGAACUUUUGGUCCUUUUGCCUCCAUGUAUAGACUCCUGGCAUUUCAGGCAUGAACCAACAUAGCCAGUUCAUGCAGAACUGAUUGAUGAUAGGACCCUAUCUCCCCAGCAAGUCCCAGUCAAAAUACCUUAUUUUAAAUAUUGACGCAAGUGGAUUUAAAGGGUAACUUUUUUUUUCCCCAAGUUUUGUUGUCACUAUAGAUGGCUCUAUACCAUAACAAAAAUUUUAUAAGCCUGUCUUUCGUUAUACAAGUUUCCUUUAAAUCAUUGGGUGUUUGGGGGUGGCAGAUGACAACACAUGAUGGGGACCCAACCUUUCAACUGAUUAAAUAAAAGUCGAUCUUCCCACAGUCACGAACCAUCUCUGUGUCCACAGGAGUUGUGUGUCUGUUCUAAAUGUAUGAGGGGCAGUUAUGUAAUUUACUACCAACAGAAUUUAUCCUUCAAAUGUCAUGUCGCAACAAUGGGUCACCUCCGUUUGUGGUAGGACACACAGGUGCUUCCUGUUGCCCUGCCCAGGACGAUGUUAACAUCAACCUCAGAGAAGGCCGUUGGACCAGCCUGGAGCCAAAUAGUAGCCACUGUGUCUGUAUUGAGGAGGUAGGGAGAACUGUUUCUUAAAAUGUAUUUAUUUGUUUCUGGUUUUGAGAGAAGAUUAUCACAUUAUAUGGCUCUGGGUAGCCUGAUACUGUGUACCCCAUGCAGGCUGCAAAUCACAGUAACCCAACUUAACUUGACUAACACUGAACCCAGAGGGAAGUACCACUGUGCCCAAGAACAGGAUUGGAGAGCUAGCCCAGCAUUAAGAGCACACCAAAGGAAUCCAAGCACUCACAUAGUGUCUAACAACCGUCUAUAACUCCAGUUCCAAAGGAUCCAACACGCUUUUCUGACCACUGUGGACACCAGGCAAGCAUGCAGUAUACAGACAUACAUGUAUGAAAAACACCUAUACUCAUAAAAUAUAAACAAAAUUUAAGAGCAAUAAAUCUGAGUGCUUUAUACAACAGUAGUUACUAGUGGUCAGGUAAGUUAUCACAAGUAAGUGUGUCGACCCCUGAGAUAAACUAAGAAAACAAUUCAUGGCAGCCAUAACGGUGCACACUCAUAUCCCAGUAUGAAAGAGGCUGAGGCAGGCUAAUACUGUGAGUUCAGAAGUUCAAGACCAGCUUGGCCAACAUAGUGUAACUCCGUGUCAAAGUAAGAAGGGCUGAGGAUGUAGUUCUCUUGGUAGUGUGUUUGCCUAGCGUGCAUAAAGCCCCAGCACUGUAUAAACAGAGUGUAGCAGUCUGUACCUAUAAUCCCAGCCGCUAAAGGCAAGAUCCAAAGUUCAAGGUCAUCGUCAGACACACACACACACACACACACACAGAGACUGUUUCAAACUAUGUGGGGUUGGGCGUGGGAGAAGGAAAGUAGAAUGGUGGGAUGCCAUUCUAAGAAACACCAUGUAACUGUUCUCACAGGCCAUUUGUCUUUUUGUUGCUACUGUUAGAAGGAAGUUUCUGUGUUCUUCAGAUCAAAUAUGUAUGUGUGUAUACAUAAAUAUAUAGAGUACAUAUGUAUUCCAACAUGGGAUCUUCAUUUUCUGCUGGAGGAGUAUGCUACUAUUCUCUUUCGCUUCAAGAAUAUCUUAGCUGAGAUGAGAAAAAUUAAGAUUCUUUAAAGACAUAUUUAUUUUAUGUGUCCGAGUGUUUUAUCUACAUGUAUGUAAAUGCAAGUGCCCUCAGAAGCCAAAAGGUGCUGGUGCUGGCUCCUGAGGCUGCAGUUAGAGUAGUUGUAAGGCAAGGUGUGGGUGCUGGAAACGAAACUGGGUCUUCAACCAGAGCAAUAAGGAAAAGUGAAUGAUUCUUUUAAGCAGGGAGGAACAAUUUGUGUAUUUAUCAUUCCAUUUGCUGAGCUCUUUGCCCAAACAAUAUUUCUAAUACUGUUGGUCACAGUGACACAUGCUUGUCUGUCUGUAGUCCCAAAUUUUCUAGAGACAGAAGCAACAGACCUCUACAGCCCAAGAGUCUGAAGUCUGUCUGGGCAAUAGAACAAGACCCAGAGAGGAGGGAGGGAGAGGAAGAGAGAGAAAGAGCGAGAAAGCAAACCGCAUGUAAGCAUUCUGGACAUGUGUGGGGUUUCUCAUUUCAACCAAUUCUCCCAACUCUCUGGUUAUAUAACCAAGUGUCCUACAGCUCAGUCAAAACUGACGCUGUGACACCAGUUACCAGGGCUUAUUAUCAGACCCCACAGGGUUAGUGGCUCAGUCACACAAGACAACCCUCACUUCAGGUGCUAGUUCCUAGUAUCAGGUCCUCAGGCUACCCCAACUAACAUCCCACGUGGCCAAAGUGAGGUUGUCCUACAACCUCUAGUUUAAAGAUUAGCUAGAACUCAUUAUACAAACAGCAACACUCCUGGUUUAUUACAGAGUCUAACCCUGGAACAACCAAAUGGAAGAACAAGAUGGCCAGGACACUGUGGAGGUGCUGGAGAGGCACGGGGUUUCGGUGUCCUCUCUGGACACAUCACCCUCUGAGCUCAGGUGUGUGGCCUCCAUCCUGGAAGCUUCCAUACCCUGGCAUGUGGGAUACUGAUGGCCAGGCACGUAGACAUGCUUAAUUAUUAACUCCAUCUCCUCCCCUCUUCCUUCCCCGAGGCCAUGGGGUAAGCAAAGCUUCCAGGCCUCUGAUCCAGGUUUGGUGUGUCUGGUCUCCAGUUAUUCCUAAGUUGUUUGGGGCAGGUCAAGAGUCACUCAUUAGAAAGAUACUCUUUUGACCCGGGAAUUCCAAGAGCUUUCAGAAGUCUGUGGACCAGGGACAAUGGCCAAAUAUCAGCACAGGAGGCACACACAUCUGUCAUCUGGAAGUUAUGUGGACCAGAGAGGCUUUGUGUCAGGAAGCAAGGAUAAAGAGCAUGGAUACGUUUCUUAUACAAUAUAUACAGACACACUAUCUUGAAAUAAAGCAAGAAGCAGUCAUCUAGCGCUGGGACUGGAGAGAUGGCUCAGUGGUUAAGGGCCUAGAUUCAGUUCCCAGGACCACGCAGAGGCUCAGUCUGUAACCCUAGUUCCAGAGGCUCUAAGGGGGGGGGGGGGGAGCACAGUGAUGAUGACACUGUUACGUCUCCUACCCAUAAUGGACUAGUAACGCUUUUUUUAAAAUUGCCUUGCAAAUGUAUUAAUUGCCCUAAUUUUCACUUUUGGAUUAUUCUCAUUAACAGGUACUCUUUUUUUUUUUUGUUUUUUUUGUUUUUUGUUUUUUGAGACAGGGUUUCUCUGUGUAGCCCUGGCUGUCCUGGAACUCACUCUGUAGACCAUGCUGGCCUCGAACUCAGAAAUCCACCUGCCUCUGCCUCCUGAGUGCUGGGAUUAAAGGCGUGCACCACCACACCUGGCUCUCUAUUUUAUUUGUGUGUGUGUGUGUGUGUGUGUGUGUGUGUGUGUGUGUGUGUGUGUGUCCUUGGCAUGUGGAGGUCAAAGGGUAACUUUAAGGAGUCAUUUUUUUCCCACCACAUAGGAAUCCCAUUCAGGUGACGAGGUCUCUGUCUUUCCCCACUGAGCCAUCUCACCAGCUAUUGGCUAAGAGUAUGUCAGCACACUACAAACACUUUUGUUUUAAGAAGGAAAAUCUUUUACUGGGUCUCAUGGCAUAUACUUUUUUUUUUUUUGAGACGCGUCUCACUAUGUACUCUGGGUAGCCUCAAACUUGCUAUGUAGACCACACUGGCCUGAAACCCAUGCCUCUUGCCUCUGCUUCCCCGGUGUGGCAUGCACUUUUAAUCGCAGCUCAGAGGCAGAGGCAGAGGCAGGUGGAUCUCUAUGAGUUUGAGGCCAGCCUGGUCUACUUAGUGACUUCCAGGCUAGCCGGGGCUACAAAAAUACAACAAAGAAAUGCUUUCUUUUCAAUUACAGAUAGUGAGUAUGUGCAGGUGAAUGCUGGUGCCCUCAAGGGUCAGAAUCCCCUGGACCUGGAGUUACAGGAGAUUGGGAGCUGCCCUGUGUAGGUCCUGGUACUGAAUGAGGCCUCUGCAAGUGCAGCAGGUACUCUGAACCACUGAGCCAUCUCUCCAGUCCCUGUAAAUACUUUUCAUCUUAACAUCUGGAAGGACCAGCAAGAUAGCUCAGCAGGUAAAGACACCUGCUACCAAGCCACAUGGCAAAAAGAAAACCAACUCCUCCUGAAAAUUGUCAUCUGACCUCCACUUGUGUGCCACGGUGUACACACACAAACACACACACAAGAUAUAACUGGUGUGUUCCUGUGUUUUGUUAGCUGUCUAUCCUCAGAGCUCCUCAGUUUCACACUCUUUCCUUCCCAGCGACUCAGUCCUUCCUGUCUUUCCUGACCUCAGCACUCCGGAAGAAUACUGCUCUUAAUUUGAUAGAAUUGGUACUUUGGUGUUUUUCCAGUGUUUUUUGUUUGUUUGUUUUCAUGAUUAGAUGAAGGUUGGUAUAUUUUUUGCAAGAAUCUCAGAUGUAAUGACCUGUAGGUGAUGUCAAUGUAUUAUUAAUAAGUAUAUCAUUUUCUGUCACCUCCAUAACAAGUUACCACAGAUUUGCUGUCUGAAAGCAACACCCAUUUCUUAUCUCAGCUUCUGGUGGUCAGAACUAUGAGUAACUUGUGCAAUGCUAAAAGUUCCUCUGUGGGUUGGACAGCCUUCUCAUCCAGGUUAGGUACUUGCCCGUUCCUUUCUCUAAGCUACUAGGAGAUAUUUCCAUAGGAUUGCCACAUGACCGCCAUCUACAAAGGCAGCAGCUGUUCCUGCAAGCAGACCUCACACUUUCCCUACUUCUAGACUCAAGUCUGAAAUGUUGCAUAAAGUUGGGCAUAUGGCACAUCCCUGUAAUCCCACCGCCUGGAAGGCAGCCUGAAGUUAAGGACUGCUGCAAAUCUGAGUCCAGCCUAGAGUACAAACUGAGACCACAAUGCGAGACCCUAUUUCAAAGAAAGGAAGAAGAUGGGGAAAGAGGAAGGGAGGGAGGGAAAAUGGUUGUUUUCACUGGUGGUGGUGAGCCACCCAGUGUUGGUGCUGGAACUGAACUUGAGUCCCCGCAAAAGCAGUACAAGCUCUCAACCACUGAGCCGUCUCUGCCACAUGGCUUUAUUUUUUUAUUUAAAAAAACAAACAAACAAACAAAAAAGACCUAAGAAAA
rnacentral:lncRNA from 1 species